UUUUUUUCCCCCACAGAUGGUGGAAGAACAGUCCUUGGGUAAGCCAUAUUGGUAUCGAAUGCAUACCUGAACUUUUUAGGCACAGUUCCUGGCUGAGAACAUAACAAAGACUCCAUUGUGCUGUCAUACAGCAAAGGCAAUAAACGUGGAUGGGUUCUUAAGUGGAUGAGUUCUUAAGAGACAAAGACUGGAUUUUCAUGCACAUGUAUUUGACAAUGAAGAAUGAGGAAAGAGAAAUAGAAAAAAGUGACAGCUAAACUUAUGUUGUUCUGAAAUAGACAGUUUUCAAUUUCCUGCAUCAGUUUCUACCUUAAAAUUUUAGGCAAAGACAGAUAUAUCUACUUAAGCUGUAAACAUCAGUGGUCCUAACUAGUGCUAGGAAAACCAAUGUGAAAACAGACAACAAAGUGAUAAGAGGACAGAGUUUACCUGAAUGGUGAUUAGUGCACAGUCAACACAACACUACUAAAUAA